rnacentral:tRNA from 1 species
GCGCCGGUGGUCUAGUCUGGUAGGAUGGUGGCCCCCCAAGCCGCUGAACCCGGGUUCGAAUCCCGGCCGGCGCA